rnacentral:rRNA from 1 species
CAAACGACUCUCGGCAACGGAUAUCUUGGCUCACGCAUCGAUGAAGAACGCAGCAAAAUGCGAUACUUGGUGUGAAUUGCAGAAUCCCGUGAACCAUCGAGUUUUUGAACGCAAGUUGCGCCCGAAGCCUUUUGGCCGAGGGCACGUCUGCCUGGGCGUCACGC